rnacentral:tRNA from 1 species
GGGGGUAUAGCUCAGUUGGUAGAGCACCGCCUUUGCACGGCGGGGGUCAGUGGUUCGAGCCCGCUUACCUCCA